UGGGACCCAAGCGAUCUUUAGUGAUCCACUGAUUAAGACGCCAUGGUUGCUGGCCAAUUCGAUAGCACUUCGCCGGAGUUCCGCCGAAGUUUACUCUCUAAACCGGUGCCCUGACGUACUUUUUUUCCUUCCGAUCAGUCGAUGGUAAUCUCCAUGCAAUUCGUCUCCGGAAACAGGUAGUGAUCACUAGUGUUUAACCAGUGAAGAAUGGGCGUAGAAAUGGAACUCGUCGAUCUCCGACGAUUUGAUGCCUGAAUCUCCUCGUUGUGUAUCUAGAGCUCCAAGGCUAUUCAUUAAAGAGAUGAUCAUGAGAAACUUCAAGUCUUAUGCCGGCGGGCGGCGAACAGCGUGUUGGCCCAUUUCAUAAGAGCUUUUCUGCCGUUGUGGUCCUAAAUCCUAAUGGUAGUGGAAAGAGUAACAUAAUUGAUGCAAUGUUGUUCGUGUUUGGGAAGCGAGCCAAACAGGUAAGAUACGAGUAGUCUAGAAGCAAUUUCAUAGAUUUGACACAUAUUAUUGUUGAAUUGUGCUAACUGUUUCAUCUAACCUUUUUUUGUUAGUGAAAACGAGCAUUAGCUGCACUACUAAAAUCCGGUCUAUUCUAAAUGCUGAAAUUCUUAGUCCUAAAUACUAACCAUUAUAAUUGCUCGGCUGGUUGAAUUUCAAUAUGGAUGGUUAUGGAAUUUACUUGUGUACAACAGCUUAUCUCUGGCGUGAAAGUUUAGCAUUUUCAUCUUUGAUUAUAAACUGCGCAGACGUCUUAAUAAAGUUUCAGAGUUCAUCCACAAUUUAACUAAUCACCAGAAUUUGGAGAGUGCUGGCGUAUCUGUUCAUUGUAACUGCUUGAUUUCCUCUUUUCGAGAUGGUCAUUUAGAUUUGCAGUUUUACUUUUGAAUUAAGUGUUUCUUCUUUUAUUCAAGGACGGUGAGACAUACGAAACGGUUCCUGGAAGUGAUUUUGUGAUCACAUGUGUGGCAUUCCGAGAUAAUUCCUCUAAGUACUUUGUCAAUGACCAGUCAAGUAACUUUAUAGAGGUCACCAAGUAACUGAAGGGGAGAGGGGUUGACUUAGAUAAUAACCAGUUUAUAUCACUUGCUUGAUGUUAACUUCGCGAAUAUGGUUUCAUUAUGGGAUUGGAGUGGUUGGAUUUUUCAUGGUGAGGUUGAGCAAAUAUCGUUGAUGAAACCAAAAGCGCAAGUAGCCCAUGAUGAAGGCUUUCUGGAGUAUCUAGAAGAUAUUAUUGGAACCAACAAAUAUGUUGAGAAGAUUGCAGAAUCAUUUAAGCAGUAAGUUCUCAACCUUUAUGGUAAACUCUUUUAUUGUUGCCAGAGUGUUGAUACUUUUUGAACUGUCAUGUAUUCCGUCACAAUUUGUUGUGAUAGCUGAAUAUAAGACCCUUGCAACCUUGUCCUGAAUCUGUAAUCAUUGUUCAUCAAUCUAGAUUAAAACUUUUGGCAUGAAAAUGCAAUGUGAUAUAAUAUCGAAUCCUCUGGGGUUGUUUGGUAACUGGCUAGAACUAUGCAAGUAUUAGUAAUGCAUUUAUUAGUUAUGCAAAGUUUGGUCAUGCAUAAAUUAUUUCUUGGAUGUUCGUUUCUUAUAUUAAAAGUUAAUAGACAUUAUAUACUUUGUAAAUUUUUUUUUUUUUUUUUUACAAUUAUUCCCGUCCUUUAGUUUUGUAUCUUUUUUUUUUCUUUCUGCAUUUUUGUUUAGGCAAUAAUUUAGACAGGAAGCAAAUGUUUGAAUUUAGGAACAGUACUAUGUAGUCUAUAAUGAAUCACUGUUCAUUGACAAGAGUAAGUGCCUAAGCAAGUGCAUUCAAUACUUCUAAAACAUGCAUUUACUAUUUCUUAAUGCUCUUUUGUAAGCUAGAAUCCCUCAAUGAAAGAAGGUCUGGUGUUGUUUAAAUGGUCAAGUUAGCAGAGAAAGAAAGAGAUAACUUGGAGGUAUAUUUUGACCUAUGUUGUUCGGACUGUCCAAAAAUGUUGCCACACUCAUGUUGGAUCCUCCAAAAAUGCACUACUUUUGGAGGGUCCAACAAGCACCCAACAACAUUUUUAAAGAGUCCAAACAACUUAGAUUUUGACCAUUACGAGAUUUUAUUUCCUUGAAAUUACAGAAAAUUAAUCAUACUAUCUUGGUUCCUUUGUCAGGGUGUUAAGAAUGAAGUUGAAGCCUACAUGCUUAAAGAAUUAUCACUAUUAAAAUGUCGAGAGAUGGCUACAAAAUUGGCUUUUGAAGUUAAUUCAACUCAAAUUUCAGAGAUGCAAACAAACAUUUCUGGACAGGAAGAGAACCUUAAAUUACAGAGGGAGAAAAUUCGAGAAAGUAACAAAACAUUGAAGGAGCUUGAGUCAAAGCACUCAAAGCAUUUGCAGAAACAAGAGGAGUUUGAUAACAGUUUGAGGCGCUGCAAGGAUGAGUUCAAGGAAUUUGAAAGGCAAGAUGUAAAAUACCGAGAAGAUUUAAGUCACUUGAAGCACAAAAUAAAGAAGCUUAAUGAUAAACUCGAUUAGGGUUCUACAAAAAUUACUGACCUAACAAAGGACUGUGAGAAGGCGGAAACUCUGAUUCCAAAACUGGAGGAAAAUUACAGUGAUCAUUGUCUGAGUAUGAAAUAAAUGAGAAAGAACAAUCUUUUAUGUUGUAAAUUGGUUGAAUACCUUGUCAGUCAAAAGUUUACUUUCAGUUGAUGCAACUUCAAAUUUUCCCUUGUGCUCAAUUAAUAGUUUUUCCCAAGGCUCUAGCUCAGCACGAACAUCAGCAAGCUCACUUCGGAAAACCUCAGUCUCAACUAUUUUCCAACAUCAUACAAGAAUGAGACAAUGAUAUAUACUCAAGGUUAUAGAUGAUGGACAAACAUGAGCAAUUUGAUGCAACGACUAAGUGCAUUGUGCACCAAGUUUUUUGAUCCAACAUCUAACAACAACAUACCCAUUAUAAUACCAGAGUGGGGUUGAAGAGGGUAGGAUGUACACAGACCUUGCCUCUAGCUUUGUGGGGUAGAGAGGUUGUUUUCGAUAGACCCUUGGCUCAAAACAUAUUUCACUUUUGCAUCUAAAGAUAACUGAAAUUUGUUUCCUUGGGACAGAUUGACAGUUUAAAGUCCCAACACAAUGAUUUUAAAAAGAAACUGAAUGAUGUUUGUAGAUUGAAGUAACUCAAGAAAAUAAUGUCUUCUUAAGAAAAGGAAAUGAACAGGCUUACACAAAGUUCACAACAAUUAAAAGAGAAGGUAAAUUAUUGCUUUAUUUGCACAUUUUGCAAGACACUUCUGUAAUUACCUAAAGCAUGGCAAGUGGUAAAAGCUGCUUUAAGCAAGUAUUUAAUUACUUCAGGCGACAGAACUUCAGAAAAAAAAAUAUAGAGAAUGCUGGUAGUGAGCGUUUGAAAAAUCAAAAGACAAAGGUCACCAAAAUUCAAUCUGACAUUGAUAAAAAAGGCACAGAGAUCUACCGUAGUAAAGUUCAGAUAGAAACAAGACAGAAAAUGAUUAAGAAACUCACAAAAGGUAAGAAACUCACAAAAGGGAUUGAGGAAUCAAAGAAAGGAAAGUCUGGCUGUGGAGGAAGAAAAAUUGCCUUGUACCUUCAAAAAGAUCGAACUGAAAUCAUUUGUUGUCAAAGAGGACUAUAAUAACAUAUAUGAGCUCUUUCAUCAGCACUCUGCUUCUCUGAAUGAUGCUAAAAAUGAGUAUGUAACUUUGAAGAAGACUGUGGAUCAAUUGUGUUCUUCAGAGGUGGAUGCUAAUUACAACUUACAAGAUAUGAAGAAGACCUAUAAAGACUUGGAGCUCAAAGGCAAAGGAUAUAAGAAAAAGCUUGAUGAUUUGCUUAUUGCUCUUUCAAAGCAUAUUGAGCAGUAAGCUGGAUUUCUUUCAAAUGCUGACUUCUUACCAUUAUCUGGGACGCCAUAGCUUUUAUGUAUCUAUCUAUCUUAUAUACAUACACUCAUAUCCGCCGUUGAUAUUAUUGUCAAUACACAUAUUUGUUCCUCUUGAUAUAAGAUUCAAAAGGACUCGGUGGAUUCAGAAAAGCUUCAAACAACUUUGAGGGAUGGCACUCUUGGUGAGACUUAUGACCUUAAUAGAGCUUUGGAGAUGGUUGCAAACCUAGAAGCUCGACUAAAAGAGAUGAAUCCAAAUCUUGACCCGAUCUCUGAAUAUGCACCAGUCAACAUUUAUAUGCAGUAAAAACUUAUAGGAUUACAGUUUCUCUUGAUAUACUAAUAGUGUCCACUGUCACCAGGUAUCGGAACAAAGUAUCUGUGUAAAAUGAGAGAGUCCAAGAACUUGAUUUUGUUACCCAAGAGCAUGAUGAUAUAAAAUAACAUUAUGAUGAGUGGAGAAAGAGAAG